rnacentral:rRNA from 1 species
UACGGAGGAUGCAAGCGUUAUCCGGAGUGAUUGGGCGUAAAGGGUCCGCAGGUGGCAGUGUAAGUCUGCUGUCAAAGAAUGAGGCUUAACCUUAUCAAGGCAGUGGAAACUACACAGCUAGAGUACGGUCGGGGUAGAAGGAAUUCCUGGUGUAGCGGUGAAAUGCGUAGAGAUCAGGAAGAACACCGGUGGCGAAGGCGCUCUGCUAGGCCGCAACUGACACUGAGGGACGAAAGCUAGGGGAGCGAAUGGG